CCAGUCCAGGUCGAACGUUGAUGAGUGAGUGGGUGGGUGGGUGGUGAUUGAUUGCCUGCAGGAAACCACAGUGACAACAGCCUCUGGGCAUCAGGAGGGACGGCACCAGGUAUGGCUGCCAUUUAAUUCCAAAUUGCAGUUGAAGUCUCACAUGACUUCAUCAUUUACAGGGUUGUAACUGCCCAGGGUUCCUGCCUUCAGUAGUAUCUUUGUCCUUCAGCAUCUUAUUGAGCCUCUGUCUUAGGUAGCAUCUCCUUACUCAGCUUCUCUGUCUGUAGCAUCUUAUCUGAUUGAGCUCUGUCUGAUGGAGCAUCUUUUUACUGAGCAGCUCUGCCUUAUGUAGCAUCUCUUUAUUGAGCUUCUCUGUAGCAUCUCCUUACUGAGCUUUUCUGUCUGAUGUAGCAUCUUAUCUCAUUGCUCUGUCUGAUGGAGCAUCUUUUUACUGAGCUUCUCUGCCUUAUGUAGCAUAGCAUCUCUUUAUUGAGCUUCUCUGAUGUAGCAUCUUACUGAGCUUCUCUGUCUGAUGUAGCAUCUCCUUAUUGAGCUUCUCUGUCUGAUGUAGCAUCUCCUUAUUGAGCUUCUCUGUCUGAUGUAGCAUCUCCUUACUGAGCUUCUCUGUCUGAUGUAGCAUCUCCUUAUUGAGCUUCUCUGUCUGAUGUAGCAUCUCCUUAUUGAGCUUCUCUGUCUGAUGUAGCAUCUCCUUACUGAGCUUCUCUGCCUUAUGGAGCAUUUAUUUAUUGAGCUUCUCUGCCUUAUGGAGCAUCUUAUUGAGCUUCUGUCUUCAUGUAGCAUCUUAUUGAGCUUCUCUACCUGGUCACAGCAUCUGUCUUCAUGUAGGAUCUUUAUCUGAUUGCAACUUCUUUAUUUUCCUGUAGCAUCUUUGUCACUUAGCAGCCAGAAUGAAGGUAAAAGUAGAUUCCCAAUAUGAGUAAUUGAUGAGGAUACAAGUGGAUUUCAUCUGUUCAGUCUGACUUCCUUUUUCUUGGCCAUUCUCACUGACCUUUGCACCUUGAUUUUUUUCCACACUUGGGAAUACUUUAGUUUUCUCAUGUCACCUUGCUCUUCGGUGGGAUUCCAGCAUGCUGUUGGAGGAGAGGAACCUUAGACUUCCUCCUGUUAAAUCUGUCUGCUGGUUUCUGGUGUUCCACUUUCCACUUUUCAGUUUGUUGGGCAGUUGGCUUGAGAGAGUGGAUUCUAGGUAUUUUCUUGUAAGGCACCAAAGGUCUCAACCCAAUUCUGAGAUUUCUGGAUGUUUCAUGAUCUUUGAUUCCCCAUCCCUAGAUUUCAACCUUAAUUCUGGGUCAUUGAGUGACAUUGUUGUCCAAGAUGAUUGAUUGAUCAGUCAUGCCCUCUGGUAGGCUAGGGCUGUCCUGGUAGUAGAAAUGUACAGUCCACAGGCAUUACCCUCCAACCAGGUGCACUUGCUGUUGGUAAGACGUGGGCUUGACUCAUGAUGAGCUAUGUUGUCUGAACUGAAUGACGUGAAAGUCACCCGAAUGAAUACUCUGAAGUCCAGCCAAAGUGUCCAUCCACGCACGUGGGCCGCACAUUUCUUUAACAUCCGUUUGUAGGCUGUACAUUUCACCAGGCUUCCCGUCAACACUGCAGGUUCGUUAGAGAAAGGAGGGAGCUGUGGGUAUUGAUCCCCACCCAUGACAUGGUUUCUUGUGUCUCAGCAUAUGCUGUCUCACCUUUGACUUUCCCAUCAUGCAUUUCAAGUGACACCUCAUGACAGCUGCACUGGUUCCCACCUUGGACCAGAGCUUCCUGAGACCAUGGCCCCCAGCCCCUCGGAGCAGCUCCAGUUAGCACAUGAGGCAGAACAUGCCAGUUGGUUGAGACCUUGCUUUUGUCUAAGAUCAGUUUACGUUUUUUUCCACCAGAGGGAGCACUCUCAUUCUUUUCUUAGUCACCACCUUUUGCAUGUUGGCAAGAUGGAGAUUGAUUGUUGGCUCAGAUUCAAGGGGGUGAAGGGGCGUUGGCAGUGGGUGAAUCUGAGCACAGGUGAGGGACAUUUUUGCCAAAAUGCCAUGCAUUCUUUGAACGGGGACUUCACGUCAUUCUUUAACAUCUGUCUUGUAUGAGUAAUGGAUCUUAAGACCUGAGAUUGACAUUCUACGACUAAGUGCUUGUGCUUUGCUUGUAGUAGCUCUUGUGAGGGAUUGAAUAGUAAUUAAACAGGUAUUUAGGAAAACCUGUAUAAAAAAGUUACCAUGGACAAUUGAAUGUAUUAAGACCUUAUCCUUAAAUAGUCACCUUAAUUUCAAUGCAUGUGUGUGAGUGUGUGUAAAUAGUGUGGGUGUGGCUAGUGUGGCGAGUGAACAGCUUUUAGUGGAAAAAGCUGUAAAGAUUAACAAACAACGUUCUUUGUAAAUAGGUUAGAUAAGUAUUAGCAGUUUUUUACCUUGUUUAGUUCCAGUUAUCCUACCAGAAUUUUUUUUUUUUAAUAUUUACUACCUCAGAGACUUGUUUGGUUUCUCUUAGAGAAUUGAGAGAAGAAAGAUGCCCUUUCUACUAACUGAAUUACAGUGGGAACAUGCAGUUGAGGGAGUUAGCAGUCUUUUGACCUUGAACAUUGGGCGCAACAUAGGGUGAUACCAACUGCUGAGAGAAAGGACCCUGAUCCAGCUGGCUGAGAACCAUCAGUACAUCCAUUCUUGAGGCGCAUGUGGCCUAGAGAGAACCCCUGCACACUCUGGAAGUGAUCAGGUGCUUGUUUCAUGGAUGGGGAGGGCUGACUUGAUCAGACUCUUUGGGAAGGCUGAGAUGGAGAGUGAGUGGUAGUGGACACAGGGAAGAAGGAAAUUGAAGGGCUUAAAGGGAUUCCAUCAGGUUGAAGGGAGCCAUCUGGGUAAAUGGAGAGCAACAUCAGUUACUUCAUUUGAGUCUUGGAAUAUCAGGAGGCUGUGGGGGAGGUUAGGUGCUGCAGGUACCACUUACCUGCCACUGUGUCAUUCAGCGCCUUGGUCUCGGCCAGCCUUGAUGGGUUAGCUCCGGGUCCUUUCUUGAGAUGACAGCUGGGUUAGUAGAAUAGGUGAAGGGGUUUGCAUUUGUAGCCAGCUAAGAUGAGGCCAAACUUGUCUCCAACCUUAGUGCACAUGAGAAUCAGUCUGCGGGCUUGUACAGUUUGUCUGCUGCUGAUUCAGUAGGUCUAGGGCGGAAAAGGUGACAUGCCCUGUUCAGGCACCACACAGAGAACCAAUAGCUGGGGGUGAUUCAGAGUUCCUUGGGCAUUAUCUGAAAGGACUGUUCCACACGCCAAUCUGCAUAGACCUCAUUGUGGAACAUUUAAAAUGGACUCAUUAGAGCAUUUAAUUUGGAAAGAAAUUGGCUGUCUAAAGGUGAAUGCAAAAUACUUUUUUCUUAAAAUAUAACCAAUUAGUAACCAAAUUUGUAAUUGGCCAGAAACUGAAAAUUUGAGUGUGAAUCCUUUCAUCAGAAUUGCCAAAAUAAAUUUAAAUUAUGUACCUGAUUGGAGAAAGCAAAUUAAUUUGGAUAAUGUCUCUAAUAAUGAAUCAACUACCCAAAUAUUGACCUCAAUUUGGAUGAAACUGAACAGUAAAGUUUCCAGAAAACAGUAGUAUUCUCAAUAGCAUGCUAAUUUCAUAGACAUGGUAAUUUUGCCAGAUGCUUCCACUGUGGGGGAGUGUUUUAUCCAGUUUGUGUUCUGUGUUGGUUACUGAACUGUGCACAGCUUUAUUAUUUUUUGCAUAUGGUUGUUGUAUUGUAAGCAUCCACUCCUAAGUCAUUUAAAAUGGCCAUAACUGGCAAUACCAAUGAGUUAAUGAGUGAUGCUAUUUUCUAGUGGCAAAUUUCAAUAUGUAUUUAAUAGCUUUGCUGUAAAUAUCCUGGUGGCAAUAUUUGGUAUUGAAAUUGAGCUUUUGUAAAUAUGCUUCUAAAUGGGAAUAGUGUUACAAUGGACUGUUCACUGUUAGUGGCAAGCUUUGACAUUUUGUCACUUCAGUCGGGGUUUCUCUGUAUUGGGAGGUGCUGAGGAGUGUGGAGGUAGAGAGACUUUGCAACGAAUGAAAAAGGAACCCAGACUAGAAACAAAGAGACCUCUUCUGUGGCUUGGACCGAAUUCAAAUAAGCAAUCAUGUUGUUUUAGGAACUUGUGACUUAGGAAGGGACUCCUAUGGAAUAAGGGGAGACCUCUUUUCUGUGGUUGGACUCAAUAAAAUGAGCAAUCAUGGAAGAUUUUUUUUUUUUAAUUGUGACAUGAAGGACCUCAACCUUGAAACAAGGAGACCUCUCUUCUAUGGUUUGGACUCAGUAAAAUGAGCAAUCAUGGAAGACUUACUUGUGACCUGUAAAGGAUGUAAAUUUGAAACAAGGAGACCUCUCUUCUGUGAUUCGGACUCAAUAAAAUGAGCAAUCAUGGAAGACUUAAAAAUGUGACCUAUAAAGGAAAGGGACCUAAAUUUCAAACAAGAAGACCUCUUUUCUGUGGUUUGGACUCAAAAAUGAGAAAUCAUGGAACACUUAAAGUUGUGACUUAAAAGGACCUGAAUUUGAAACAAGGAGACCUCUUUUCUGUGGCUUGGGCUGAAGAUAGGGAGAAAUCCCACAGGAUUUUUAUAAAAAAAAACCUGAUAGUUUCUAUGAGAAUUAAAUUACUGCAAUGAUAUGGAUUUCCUUAUUUUUGUAGGAUGGCAGAAAAAAAAAAGUGACCUAUUUUUCUAAUUAUCUUUUGCUUAAUGUGUAACUCUCUGGUGAGCAUGACUGAAUGGAUUGGGUGUUUUCUCAGUUAAGGUCUUAGGUGAGGCCAAAGGAAUAUUUGAAAUUUCCCACCCCUCCAAAACCCGAACCACAGUGAGGAAACUAAAAUAUUUAAACACAACUCAAUGAGUAAUAUUUUUGUCUUAGAUUGCAAUAUGGUAAAAUUUGUUUAAAUGUUUACAAGAAAGCAUAGCCUGACUUCUGGUAUUUUAUGGAGAGAGAUUCAUUGGCCUUAAAGUCAUUGCUGUUCUCUUUCCAAGACCUAGUGUAAUUGGCAUUUCGUAUAGAUUUGAAGGAUAGAUCGUAUGUCAUAAUUUGGCUAAAUUAUUGGGUAAAAUCUAUUCAUAAAGAAACAAAAGGUACAAGAAAUGACAAUUCAGCUUCUAGUUUAAAUCUCAAUUCUUAAAGAUUUAAGUGGCAUUUGAUUUUGCCUCUGCUGGGUGCAGAGAAUUGGGUAACACCAUCCUAAAUUCAACUUGCUUAUCCAUAGUUAAGGAAUACUUCCCAUUUCAAUUUGGCUUCUGUGGAAAGGAAAAGGAUCAUUCUUAAAGUCAUCCAUCUGUUUCAGUCUAGCUCACUAGAGAAUAAAACUUACCUGUUUAAAAAAAAAAACAAGCAGGUGAACGAAUCUCUUGUACAACCUCUUAGAGAUCAAGAGUUCAUUGUUAUUGAGAGUAUACAACUGUUUACUUAGUGGUAACCACGGACGUAGCCACAUAAAAUUAUGUAAAUAGACCUAUCAUUGUUUAGCUUUUCUAAUGUACAUAAACAUCUUCUACAACUUGCUGUUAAAACACUUGGAACAGUUGUUUUUAAAAUGACAAGACCAUGUCUGGAUCGCUCCAAGAAGAAACUAGCAAGUGACCAUGUGAAAAUUUCAUGCCAUCAUAACCAUCACUUCAAAACCAUUGCAUGAUACCUUUGACUGAAUUUUAUAGAAUGUAAAAAGCUGCUGCCAACGAGGGGGUGACCAAGGGGCAGGCAUUGGACACGCCUGGAGCCUGAGAACCAUGGACAAGGGUUUCUUGCCAAAAGUAAGAACCUGCGUAGCCGGGGGAUUGCUGCUCAGGCUCCAGUAGAUGGCUGUCCCGCACCUACCUUUCCAAUUGGCAGUUCGACCUCUUGUAACUUUUUUAAAACUCCCAGCCGUCGCCUUACUUCUGUCUUCAGAUUCUCUCGUCUGUCUGCCAGAGAGUCUCUGACAGAUGACGAACCACAUCGUGUUCCAACAGUAUUAUGAUAAGCAAUAAUCAGAAGAGGGGAAAGAUUCCAUAGACUGAUACUAUCAGCGUCUUUUGCCACUCUCAGAACUGGUAAUCUUCACUUGUCACCUGAAGAUUUGGAUUCUCAAAAUCUGGGAUGUUCAUUCAUCAAACCCCCUCCCCCCCGGUCCCCUAACAACCAUCUCCAGAAGUUUGUACAGCAGAAACCGUUACUGAAAGCCACGAUGAUGUACAAUGGAUGGGCCUGAGAUCCCAGCCUGAGGAACUGCCCGGCCUGAACCAGGGAACUCUGUGGGCAUCUAAACCUCAUGCAAACUGAAGGGGUCUUUGGCCAGAUCGAGAGCCAUUAUCCCACCCUAAUAAGAAUCGAUGCCUGGGCCAAAAGCAAAGGAACGGCAUCUCUCAUUCCGUAUUCCUCCCCAAAAAGGGGUGUGAAGGGCAACAUCAAGCAGACACAGGUCAACCCCGCAGGAGCUGGAGAGGAAGGACACACAGCACAUUCUUACUGAUCUUGAAGCUUUACCAGCCACGAGGACAAGAAACACAGAUUUAUACUCUUUGUUUGGACCAUCCGCUCUUACAUCUCUUUGGAGAAAAAGAAUAUUUUGUGGGGAAUCUCAACUCCCCUUCAGAAGGUCUACCAUUGAAAGCUGUGUAACAGAGACAUUUGUAUAGAUGCCUGAGGCACAGGUCCCCAGUUUUUUCUCCAAUUAGCAUUUUAAAAACAACUAAGAAUCUAACCCUGCUCACUUUAUUGCCCACAUAAAGCUGAACAAUUGAUGGACAUUGGUAUGGACAAUGAUGUUAAAAUGUAAAUAUGAAAUGCUCAGUGACUAAAGAAUGUUAUGAACUGUUCUUGGUGUGAGGAGACAAAGAGAAUGAAAUUCGACAUAUAAUGGUUUCAUUUUCUUGUAUUUUAUUCUUUGUUUACGUAAACUUCCUUGGAAUAUAAACUCAAGCACAGAGGCCUCCAUUUGUAAACAAAUCUGUUAUUUUUGAAUAUUUUUGUAAUGGUUGCUGUGAUAUACUCAAGCUGGUUUCCUAGGGAAGUUUCUAAUAACACAUUUGGUAAAAUUGUCUUCUGGAUUAGUUUUGUAAAGCUAUACACAAUUCUGGACUCGUUUGUGCUCAGGGAUAGUAGAAAAGGAAAUGGCAAGGCAUUAGAUAUCCAUGUGUAUAAAAAAGCCAAAUAUAAUUGCUUUGCACCAUUUUCUGAUGUAUAUAGUUUUUAACAAGGAGUUUGGUUACGUGUAUAGAAGUAUUUUAAUACCUGAUGUUAAAUAGAACUGUCAGAAUACCUCUGAAAGAUGUACAUACAUUUAACCAUUUGAAAGGACGGUCGCUGUGGGAUUGGGCCAGGUGGUUUCAAACACAGCGACCACAGACAUGAAAGGCUGCUCCGUGGGUGUAAAUGUUCGUGUGAUUGGCAUUGUUUUGAUAUGUAUAUGUUGCGCUAUGCUUAUACCAAGUGCUAUUGCUGUUUAUAUAAGAGCUGUUGCGCUAUGUUUCAAAGCCAUCUCACGGAGAUGGCUUACCUCCAUGCUCACACGUCUACCUUUAGUUUGUAAAUUUUCUUUUCAUUUUUAUAUAGCCUCACGAUUUAUUUAUUACUUAUAACAUUUUGUUUUUUAUAAACAAUGUUACUAAUGCCUAACAUGCAAUUUUUAACGUGUAUAUACAUUAUUGUAAAUUUGUUAUAAAUAUGACCAACUUACUGGGAUAGAAGCAUUUUUGUUUACCAAAGAGAUGUUAGAUGUAGCCUCUCGGUGUUCCUUCAUCAUUAGGCGCCAUGUUUAUGUUGUCCUCAAUGUAGAACAUAGUACAAUGCACUCUGGUUUAUGACGUCAUGCUGGAAAUGUCAUUGCAACUGUAGGUCUGCUCUUAUUGAUGGUUUCAGAUAUAUUUGUAUACAAAUAGGACAGGUUUUUUGCAUAACUUGGAGAAAUCUCUACAAUGUGGUGUAAAAUAGCAUAGGUUAGACAAGUUCAUUUGCAAGUGGAAAUUGACAUAAUGAUAAUAGUGAAUUGUUUUUAGUACAUAUUCCUAGUUGUAUAGGUGAUUUAUGUUUGGGACGUUAGCAAUGGAAUAUAUUAAACCCAAGUUCAUUAUAUGUGGGCUGACAAAAGAAUGUUUUUGUAUAAUAUGUAUAUAUAUAUAAUAUUCAGUUAUUACAUGUUUUGUAAAGCAAUAGGGACUUUUAUAUUUGCAUGUCUUAUUUUUAGAUUAUUGUAUAUAUCUUUUUUAAACUUUUAGUCCUUUAAAUAUGAUUGUUUACAUAUUCAUAUGUGUAUAUAAAUAUACACAUAUACAUGUACAUAUGUGUAUAUUAGUGUACAGAAUAUUUUUUUAAAGUCAUAGGACAAACAAUGGAAGAUACUGUGACGCUGCUAGUUAUAUGGUGGACAAAUGUUUUGUUUUAUAACAUCUGCAUUGAUAGACAAAGGUGACUUCUAUUUAGGCAAUUAAAUUGCUAUAUUUGUCUAGUCAACAUGUAUUGUUUGGGGGGGGUUAUUGCCUUUGUGUUGUAUUUUUUUUUUCAGUAGACAUUCUUAGUUAAGGUGUAGAAAUCAUUGUCAUUAAUAUGUUAAUCGUGUAAAUUUUUUCUUUCAAGUUUGUUUUUUAAUGUUAAGUUCUGGAUUUGAGCAGGGAGGUUAUCUGACUGCUGUAUGUAUAAUAGACAAGCUUCUUACACAUCUUCACUUCCUAGGUGUAUAGAAGAAAUCCUCUCUACAUGCGCACAUAAGCGCAUGCCCACACACGUGCGCACACACACACACAGAGUACAUAUGUUAAUGUUGACUUAUGGUUAAAAAAUGUUUGUUACCAAUAGAAGUGUUACUUCACCCCCUAGUGUUUGAUAUCACUUGGGGUGAAUGGGGGUAAUUAAGCUGACCAGAUCUUUGUUUUUCUAUCAAUAUACUCUUGUACAUGUGCAGAGAUUUCUAUCGUUGUAAAUUCUAUUUCACCUGGAAUUAUAGCACAUAUGCUUCACGUAGGCUUUUUUUUCUGCUUGCUUGCUUGAAAUGGUUCACCAGUCCUGCCUAUUGUAAUCUUAAAACUGUAUUUAUCUUUAAAACGCCUGUUCAUUGCUGAUAUACUUUCUAGUAUCAAUAUAUUCAUAUAAUUAGAUUUUUUUCCUCAAAUAUUGAAAAAGGUUAGUGGAUGUUUUCUGACCUCAUCUAAUAUUUUCUUAUCUAUUUUUUGUUUAUGUCGAUGACAUGUAAUCUGUCUUUUGCAUUGCAUGUGGACCACCCAAAGUAAAAUCCUCUUCCAUCACCAUAUAUUUGGCCCCCAUUUUCCUUAACUACCUCGCCACCCACUUCCCAACAACAUGGAUGGACCUUGAGAAUAGUAUGCUAAGUGAAAAGUGUUUUUACCUCACAUUUUUAUUUAGACGUAAAAAGUAGAUAAUAAGCAUGAAAUUGUCAUUUUAUAGAAAAAUACCUCAAUUUAAGGGCCAUGUUGUUAUAUAUUAGUUUCCCAGAUGUGCUGAGGUUCGUGAUGGAAUUGUUUUUUCUAAAGAACAUUUACAGAAUCUCUAAAAUAUAUAAUCCUGUAAAUAUUAUUGUAUAUUUGUUCCUACCCAAUUGUCUUUCAAUAAUAACACGGCAAUAAAAUUAAAUGUACAACUUAAUUCAUUUACCCCAAUAUGGAAGACUAGUCUGGCCAUCCUAAGUAUGAAUUGUAAACAAGAUUCAGUGUGAAUUUGGUGUGUUUUUGGGUGUGCCAAGUUUCCCAGUAGGUUUCUGUUUUUAUUAAGAUUUUUUGAAAAGCGGUUUUAAAUUCAUAGCAAAUUUAGGGGAAGAUAUAAAGAUUUCCCAUAUACCUCAGUCCCCACUCACAUGCAAUAAUCAGCCCAACACGUAGGGUAAUCAUGCCUUUUACAUCCAUAAGGUGACAUUUUGACAUUGACAUACCCAUUAUGAUAUUGGUUAUUCUCAUGACCCUAAAUCCUGUUAUCUGCCUAUUAAUCCUUCCGUCUGUAUUUUUUUCUUUUUCACAUCGAAGAAAAUUAGUUGCUUCGCCAAACGGAUUUUAUACUACCUCUUGGAACUACACAUAGUUGUUGUGUGUGUGUUCCCGUGGUCGCAUGACAGUAUUCAAGACAACUUUGUAAAUAACAGGCAGAUACACUUUAAUUUCCCACAUCUAGUCUUUCCAAAUGUAUAUAUUCUCUCACUCAGAGUAUACUUUUGUAAAUAAUUCAUUGUUCAAUCUCAUGCUUUUAUAUUCUUAGGAUGUGUGGUGGUUUCUUGAGCUGUAUAUAUUGCUCUGUUUGUGGAUUUGCUAGGGGGUGGGUAAAAGGGAAUGGUCCUACGCUUUUUGAAAUAAGGCAUUGUUUAGUGUUGUAUUCUACAUCAAAGACCUCAGUCCUCACUUUGUGGUUGUGUAGCUAAUAGGGCAUUAUGUGUUUUAAUCUUGGGAAAUGUAUUUUAAAAGAAUUACACAGCCACAGUCAGGACAAUUUUGUAAAUAGGCAUAUAUAUACACGCAUUUUAAACAUCUAGGUUUUCUAGAUGGAUAGGGAGAUUGGCAAAUUUUGUAAAUAAUGCAUUGAAUACUAGCAUAAGGUGGCUUCUGGUAUGUUUGGCAAUGUGCUAGGUGGUAGUUAGUGAUGGUUUGAUUCCCUGGCCGUGUGAGCAUUCUGGUGUGCGGAGAGUUCCUGGAAGUGGGAUCCUGAGAUUGCUUUCAUGUCUUCGUCUCAGUGAGGCUCUCUGUAGAAGGAAAGGCUACACCGGAUAUGGACAAAAGUAUUGGCACACCAGACAUGUGUGGUGAAGCUCUAGGGAUAAAGGUGUGUGACAAGAACUGUCACUUUGUCACAUCCAGAUGUUGUCAGUGAUGGAAUCAGACAUGGCAGAGACGCACAUUGCUAAAGAAAUUGCUAUGUUGCUAGGCUAGAUAAAUGUGAACAUACGCACAUAUGAACAUUUGUUCUAGGGGGAUAGAUCUGAAUGCUUGUUUUCUCAUUAGCUUAUUGAUUUUCAUUUUGCUAUGAAAGUUAUUCUUACACUUCUAAAAGCCAGCCUCAUUACAUGUUAAUGUGUUAAUUUUGUAUACGAUAAUUAAGCAACUCCAUCUAUCAAUGCUUUCACUUGUGUCAUCUGUAUGAGAGAAUUUCACUAAUUAUGAAUAUUUUAAUUCUCUGAGACCUCUAAAACUUUUCUGGUGAAUUGUUAUAUUUGAAGGUCAUGAUUUAAUGUCAAAAGUGUAUUGUAUCUCAGUUGCCUGUAAUGUACUUUCGUAAAGUUUCUUAGAAAGAUGGUCCAAUCCAGUGUGGAUUAAAGUAUAAAUCAUCUAUUUGAAUAGCAGCUUGGCAAUGACAAUCAAAAGUGAAUGCGUAAAAUUGACUGCUGUGAUUUUAUCUAUUCCAAUUCAAAUUUACAAUGUUGAAAGUACAUUACAAAUUGAAAGAAACUUUGAACGACUGAAAUACACAUUAGUUAAAGAUAAUGAUUAUAGAUUACUUAAAUGGAUAUAAUUUAAAUACUGAUAAGACUUUCUUAUGUGGAUGUGUGUUUUAAAUUGAUACUUAAAGCUGUCAUUUUUUAGCAAAGAUCAACAAAUGUCUGUGACAAGGAGGUAUGUCCAUGGGCCUCUACGUCAUCUACCAGAAAAGCUGAGGGCAAUGAUUCAACAUCAGUGUUGCUAUCAUGGUGAUGGUUUCGACCCUCUGGCAUUUUUGUGCAUGUGCUAGUAAAAUAGUAAGCAUCGCUCAUCCAUGUAUUUGUAUGUUGCUACAUGACAAUCUAAAGUGACCGAGUAUGGAAGAGAAAGUUGUCUGGCCAACUAUGGCAAAAUCUCAAAAGUACAAACAGAUGUGAGUGGAAGGACUGCUUCUACUUUGUGCAUUCAAAAUGUUAAAAGGUGUUUCAGAAAGAACAUUAACAACAGGAUGUUAAAGGCACCUAAUUUGUGCCUGUCCAUCUUGCCUAUCAACACCCUGGGCAUGUGUGGCCGUGGUGUCCGGCCUUCUAUUGCGAUUUGGACCUGACUAAUGCUUUUAAGAGAUCAAGACAGUAUGUGACUCGGAGACUAACGCAGCACGGAUCUGUACCGUGUAAGGAAGAGGAAGAAGGAGAAUCGGUGACCAAGGAGAGAAGAAGGGAGAUGGCAGGAGUGAAAAAAUGAGGAAAGGAAACUGAAUUUGCGAAAAUGUAAGGACAAUUAACAUCGGGAAUAUUCAUCUUUCGGUGGAGUUCCUUGUUCCCUGAGGCUCAACGGAACCACAGGAGGUGAUGGUGCUCAGGAAGUCUCCACUGCAGUGCUCCACCGCCCCGUCCUCACGCUGUGCCCCACUUCCAUCCCUGGCCCAGGAGCGUCCCGGAGACAUGCAUGGGAUGCCCGGACAGACGCCUGCCAGCUUCUGCCACCACCAGAACACCACCGUCUUCAGAGCGGCUCAGAGGUGCCUCCUGGGCGUGGCCACGGACACACCCUGCCAGCUCAGCUCGACAGAGAGAACUUCGUGUCCAAGGUGACCUCGCGGUGAUGGCGAGAACUGUAAGCAGCAUGUUGACUGUUGUCCUUGUUGCUGUGGGACUGGAACCAGGAAAUGGAAAGCUGGAGACCUUAAGACCGAAGCCCUGGACGUGCCGUUGUGAGGCCUCCCCCAGGGCUCCCAUAUAUUCUUAUUUUACUUGUAGCUUAGAUUUACAAUGUAUUCAUUAAGAUAGUUUUUUUUUCUUUAGAUUUUAGGCGACAUAAAAAUUUGUUAAGUAUGUAGUCACUACUUUAUGUACCUUUUAAUUUUUACCCUCACCCCAUGUUAUAUAAUGUCAUUUUAUUUUUCAUUUAGAUAACAUUCAAUACUACUUUGUAUUAGUUUCAGGUAUACUCAAUCAAUGUUUCUGGUACCCACCAGGACCCAUAUACACGGAUCACAGUACGAAAUGACAGUACUCCCUACGCUAUCAUCUACUAAUAGAGUUAGUGCGCACCCUUGUGGUGGCGCUCACACAUUGUAGGCAAGUAGUGCUUUAGGCGCUUACCCUGACCACGCAUCCUCUCUGCAUCGAACACACUUUUAUACCAUUCCUUUUGAAUUAUCCAACUAACUAGUUGAAAAAAACUCCAAUGAAUUGGAAAUUCUCUGGCCAAAAAUAAUCAAUUUAUAUAUAGGCUCAAGUUAGCUUUCCACUCACGCUAGGUCCUUCUCGUUAAUCUUCCUCCGCUGUUUGAGCUCAAACUGCACAAACACUGUUCAGAGCGGUAGACUGUUAGGUGCCAGUGUCUUCGUUCUGCCCUGACUUCGGAGAAGCUCCUCCAGCACUGCUCAGCACAGUCACACACUCACCGCUUCUGCAUCACCUCACCUCUUCAUUCCAUUUCCCCAGUUCCCUUGCAUCACUGUAGCAUCACUGGUUUUUAAGAGCUUGUUUAUCACUAAAGAUGUUAACCAUUUCUCAUGCAUUUGCAAAUGAAAUACCAUGUUUUUGUUACCAUUUUACUCCGGUGUUUUACUUUUUGGUUGUAUCCAAACUUGUUAUUAAAUAUAAUCAUAUAAUGUUUUAUCCCUUUUGUGUUGGUGUUUUUCUUUUUAAAAACGUUUACAAUAGUAUACAUUUAUGUCUAUAUUUCCUUCUACUUUAUGUCAGUUUUGUCAUUUUAUUUUUUUUUUACACAAAUCAUUGCUGCAGUUUUAAAGGCAUCACAUACUCAUAUUAUGCACCUUGACCUAAACAGUUCACCACUAGUUUUAAAUUCUACCCUAUUGUUUAAAUCCCAAAAUUCAGUCUGUUGACUCUGUUUCUGAUCAUCCUAUUAAUGCUUCAAAAUUACUGGUACCUGUGACUCUUACCUAGUCUAUUGAGUUCUAUCUCCUUUCUUUUCUUUUUCAGAAUAUUCCCUGUCUAUACUCGCACUUUUUCUGUCACUCGAUGCUUAAAAUUAUUUUGCAAGUUGGGAAAACAUGCAGUUUUAUUUCAUUUGCAUCAAAAUAAUUAGAUUAACUAGGAGACAAUAUCUUUUAAGUGACUUCCUAUACAACUACAGUUAUAACUGAGGUGUUCCCAGUGUAAGAAGUGACACAUCUUAGAUGCUGACAUUCCUAGAUCAAUCCAAAUUGUAGUUCUUGUUGAUCAGUUCUGUGGAUUUGAUCUUCGGAAAUGCUGCAUCUUCCGUGAGCGAGGACCAAAGAGACUUUGAUUGCAGGUGGUGGGCAUGUGGACAACAGGACCCCAGGCACCUUCUGAAGUGACCCCACCCUUCAGCAUCACCCACAGGCCGCCUCGUUUCCCCCUCCGAGAAGCUUGCUGCGUCUCUGUCUCCCCAAGGGCAUGGACAGCUUUUCUAGAACUGACCUGCUGGCUGGCAAGUAAUUGCCUGGACUCUAUGGUGUACUUCUCUUUGCUCUGAAUAUCCGUCAUAUGAUUUCUUCUAUUGUCUUCUGGACUUCGUUGCAUUUUG